UCCGCUUCUUGGCUGAGACCAAGCUGUAGUACCUGUUCUUAUGAUUUUGAUUUCUGAUAUGUGAUCCAUCGACCACUUCAAGGUUAAUCCACUUUUGAAAUACAGGGAGAUUCGUCGAAGCUUGCUCCUCGCCUUUCGCUGGUCGACCUGGCGUUGCGUUUGCAUCCGGGAACGGCUCGUUCCCG
rfam:Ascaris lumbricoides genome assembly, scaffold: ALTE_scaffold0005532